rnacentral:rRNA from 1 species
UACGAAGGGGGCUAGCGUUGCUCGGAAUCACUGGGCGUAAGGGGUGCGUAGGCGGGUCUUUAAGUCAGGGGUGAAAUCCUGGAGCUCAACUCCAGAACUGCCUUUGAUACUGAGGAUCUUGAGUUCGGGAGAGGUGAGUGGAACUGCGAGUGUAGAGGUGAAAUUCGUAGAUAUUCGCAAGAACACCAGUGGCGAAGGCGGCUCACUGGCCCGGUACUGACGCUGAGGUGCGAAAGCGUGGGGAGCAAACAGG